UGUCCCAAAGGAACCGUCGGCUCUCUGCUGUGAUGCCCGUUUUCCGCUCCCCCCGGGACUGGGCCACAGGAAGGUUCAGUGGAUGGAGUUGCCUACCCCUCAGAAAGUCCAAGAGCCCCCAAAGAGCUUUGAAGAAUUCUUAAAGUCUCAGAACUGGGAUUAUUGGCCCAGGGAUGUUCACAUUAGAGAUGGUGAUAUAUGGGAAAACACUCUGAGAAAACUAGAAGAGGCUGUUUCAUAUAAUUCAGUUUAUUCUUAUCUGUGGACCAACGUUCCUAGACUAUAUGAAAUCGUCGACAGCAUGGAGUCAAAGUUAAAGGAAUGUUCACAUCUUUUGCAACAGCAUGCCUCCAGAUUAUUUGAAAGUGACAGACUGAUCUCCAAGAAAAGGACAUAUACAAACCUGGACCGCUACAAGGCAUUUCUAAAAGAACACUAUAGGCGAAAGAAGAUAGUGCUUUCAGAUCAAAUGGAGACAGAGAAGAAUAUAGAGGGUUGCACCUUUUUACUCAAACAAAAUGAGCUGACACAAUUACCCAGACAUUUGGAUGCUAAACAGAUUUAUCUUUAUGUUUUAAGAACCCAUAACCUUGAGCCUGACAAAAGAGAUCAAGAUUGGUUAUUUGACAGAAUCGCAGAAAGUUAUGUCACUCUUUUCAUGAGAAUACCUCUAAGGAGAAAGGAUAUAUUCUUUCAGAUGUAUCCCGACUGGUUGGCUCAAGCUGUCUACACAACCUUCCAGGAAUCAUUUCCAGAAUCCUGCAGCCUCUUCAAUGAUAACUUCAAAGAAGAC
rnacentral:lncRNA from 1 species